rnacentral:tRNA from 1 species
GGUCAGUUAGCUCAGCUGGGAGAGCGCCUGCUCGACACGCAGGAGGUCACAAGUUCAAUCCUUGUACUGACCACCA